CGUAUGUCUCGUGGCGCAUCGCUGGGAAGCUGCUCGCCUUCUGGAGGGUAGGGAGAUUCCUUAAGCUGAAUUGCUGGUUGCCUGAGAAAACAAAGUGUUCCAUAAUGUUGUCAUUGCCUGAAAAAGUUUUGCUUUGUUCUGCUGGUCUGGACCUCUUGGCAGUUGGCAUUGUACCUCCUAGGACUGGAUGAGAGAUGUUCUGCUACUCUCAAAUACUAGUGGUGAGGCCAAUGUGGCGAUAAACAAUGAUAGGAACCAAAGUGUCAGAUAAUGGAAGUGCACGUGAUAAUGAUAUUCUUGCGAGAAAGAAGCUAAGCAAAAACUAGCAUAUAUAACUGCAUUUCACCAUUGCAAGUUCUUCAAUGGGAAGGUGGAACAGAAAUGUACAGAAUAAAGGAGGAAUGCCUGAGAAACAUGAGAUGAGACAGAAUACAGAAUAGAGGAGGAAUGCCUGAGAAACAUGAGAUGAGACAGAACCACAAGAGAUGCGCACCUUGGGAUAAACUGAAGGAGCAGAGGCAAACCAUGGCCUGGAAGAUGAAUAGCAUUCUCUUGCUCAAAGCCAUUGAGCCUGAGAACCACCUGCCAAGCUAAACUCUUUCCCCUUCUUAGGAUUUUCCUUCCCUCCAAAACAACGGUGGCAAAACCUCUCUCCCUCCCCUGUUUCCUGAUCUCCACCUCUCAAGCUUGCUCACUGCAUUUGAGUAGGUUUAUGUAGAGGGCUUGGCAUUGGGGGAUUGAUAGCAAUAGGCUGCUGUGUAUAUGCAUUAAAGAGAGCUCACCAGCUCUAGUAAGUGCUAUUCAAUGCAGAGGGAGCACUGGCCUGGUACAACUGGGAUUUAUGGACUUCAUCAACCAACCAACCGUAGCAAGGCUGCUCUGAAGAUUGGAAGAAAGGGACCUAUGCCUCUCAAGCACUUUAAGGAGAGGGAGAGCCAAGGACAAUAUGACCUGUGAAGAACCAGAAAGAGCCUUCACAUCACACGGUUACAUCUGGAUCGAAAAGAGACGCCCUAACAACCUACUCGCAGGCAACCUGGGAUUAUUUAAAGGGCUGUCUGAGCUGCCGAAGCAGAGUGGUGCACCUAGGGGUCACAAGACUCACAUCCUUGUCCGGGCAGUUCGCUGAUCGCCGGACGGCUCCUUAAUUUUCUCAACAGAAGCCUUUAAUCUGUAUUCAAAUGGCUCUAAAUGGAUCCGCAGCCAAACAUUUCCAAGAUACAAUCGUAACUCUAUUGGGUGGAUUCUGGAAUCUCGAUGAAAUGGAGUUAGAUCUGGGAGAAGAAUCAGUACUGGAACUAUGUCAAAUGGGGCAACCUGACCAGUGACUAGUGACCACUGCUACGAGCUGGAACCUGUUAAAUUUCCAUGCCCAUCCAUCCAUAUGAUAUAUUUCCCACUCACCACCAGUUUUUCUGAACCUGAUGCAAUUAUGCAAGUAAUCAAGCAAUCAACCCACCGGUGAAGAUGUUGGUCAAUGACUGAAACUAGGAGGCUAAGGUUAUGUCAUCAAGAUGCUCCAUCUCCCUGGAAUCCCAGCAUUUUCAUCCUCUACCAUUUCAAUACAACCACAUGGAAAUUGUGCUAGAAUCAUCAUCAUCACCAUGAAACAAAGGAAAAAUGGGGCGAUCUUGCUACUGUUUCAAGUUUAAGGCGGCGGCAGAUCAGCGCAGUCCUCCUGUCUCUUCACAGAUGAUUGGCUGGAAAAACAAAUUCUGCAUCUCAUCUGGUGGUUGCGUCUCAACGGAGCUGACGUGAUGGUCUGACAAAGAUGUUUCAAACCAUAAAUUAGUCACUGACAAAGCCUGCUUCUGUUGUUCGCCGAAAUUCUUUUAGAAGACUCAGGCCCUGUUUAGAUGGGACUAAAACUUUUAAGUCCCUAUUACAUCGGAUGUUUGAAAAUUAAUUAUAAAUAUUAAACGUAGACUAUUAAUAAAACCCAUCCAUAAUCUUGGACUAA